GGGUGGGAAGCAGUACUUGUGCUGCUAAGAGCAACUGAUAUUACGUAUGCUGAGGAUUAAUGGACAUUUUGAAUGAAAUGUAAGAGAAGGCAAUGCAGCGGCAUGUGGGGAUUUCAGACAUAGAAAGACCUGAAGCUGUCUGGGGAAAUGGGGUUGUGGUUGAAAAUGAAGGUUUGUGUUUUCUCAGAGAACGGCCUGAAAUUCCUUUUCUCUAAGCCAGCUGCCAGCGAGUAAGGAAAGCCCUCUUCACCUCUAGCUGUGUUGGUAUCACCACACCUGGACAGAGGUGCAGGUUAUUCGAGCAAGUUGUUAACACUUCAUUUAGCAAAGAGGAUGAAGGAAAACAGUGUGACAAGAAAAGCUAACAGAUCACUCUGAUGGAUAAUCUCGCUUCCCACUCUGGCUUCUUCCAGUGCACAUGAAAAAAGGUAACGUCCUUUGUAACCUCUGUUAGCCAGUUUU
rnacentral:lncRNA from 1 species